rnacentral:tRNA from 1 species
GAGGGUAUAGCUCAGUGGUAGAGCGCAUGCUUAGCAUGCACGAGGUCCUGGGUUCAAUCCCUAGUACCUCCA